rnacentral:rRNA from 1 species
CACGUAGGGGGCGAGCGUUGUCCGGAAUCAUUGGGCGUAAAGCGCGCGUAGGCGGCCAGAUAAGUCCGGUGUGAAAGUCACAGGCUCAACCUGUGAAUGCCGCUGGAAACUGUCUGGCUCGAGUCCGGGAGGGGCGAGUGGAAUUCCUGGUGUAGCGGUGAAAUGCGCAGAUAUCAGGAGGAACACCAAUGGCGAAGGCAGCUCGCUGGAACGGUACUGACGCUGAGGUGCGAAAGCGUGGGGAGCAAACAGG